CGCAUCUGUGCAUGCAGCAUAUCAAUAAGCGGAGGAAAAGAAACUAACAAGGAUUCCCCUAGUAACGGCGAGUGAAGCGGGAAGAGCUCAAAUUUGAAAUCUUAAAGGGUUUCCCUUUACGAAUUGUAGUUUAAAGAAGUGUUUUCUGUUGAGGUUUUGGUAAAAGUUCUUUGGAAUAGGACAUCAUAGAGGGUGAGAAUCCCGUAUUUGACCUUUACUUUCAACUUUGUGAUACACUUUCAAAGAGUCGGAUUGUUUGGGAAUGCAGUCCAAAAUGGGUGGUAAAUUUCAUCUAAAGCUAAAUAUUGGCGAGAGACCGAUAGCGAACAAGUACCGUGAGGGAAAGAUGAAAAGAACUUUGAAAAGAGAGUUAAACAGUACGUGAAAUUGUCAAAAGGGAAGCGUUUGACACCAGUGUUGUUUUUCUGAAAAUCAAUUAAAGAACUGUUUAUGCUAAGUUGUUUAGACUUUAUCAGCUAUCUGCUUCAGUUUUGAGCUUUUCUUUAAUGCACUUUUCAGUUAACAAGUCAACAUCAAUUUCUUUUGCUGUAAAAAAGCUUGAGGAAGGUGGCUUGAGAUUCGUCUUAAGUGUUUAUAGCCUCUUGCCUAUGCAGUCGGAGAGAUUGAGGUCUGCAGCGUAGAUCCUUCGGGGCUAAAUGCAUUUGUGCUAAGUUAUAGCAUUUUAUAGACAACUUGUUGACUAUGAUUUGUCUUGUAGCUUACUCGCUUAUGUUAUUUUACCUACGCUUAGGAUGUUGACGAGACUGUCGAUCUC
rnacentral:rRNA from 1 species